rnacentral:misc_RNA from 1 species
ACUUCUCAACUCCUCACGGUUUGCCCGUGAUGAGCUUGGACUUUGGGGGUCUUGCCGGCCUGCGGGUCGGCUCCUCUCAAAUGAAUCAGCUUGCCGGUGUUUGGCGGCGUCACAGGUGUGAUAACUAUCUACGCUUGUGGUUUUCCGCCAGGUAACCUCCAGCGAUGGGGGUUCACUGGAGCUCACAAAUGUCUCUCCUCGGUGAGGACAGCUCUUUGAAC